GGGUUCGCGCUUUGGUCCUGGAGGCCUUAUCCUAGCCUCCUCUGUAUCAGCGCCACCAGUCUGGGGCCCGAAAGGAGGGAGCUUUCCCUCUGUCCCCCAGCCUUUGGACUGUCACCAAACAAGCCAUUCGUUCACCAAAUACUUAUUAAGCGCCUACCAUGUGCCUGACAAGGGAGAUGUAACGAUAGAGUCUCUCUCUCUGCCACCCAGGCCAGAGUGCAGUUGACGCAGGGCAGGGGAGCCCCGAAGUGGAGCAUAGUGUGUCCGGAACUGGUGGGUUCUUGGUCUCCCUGACUUCAAGAAUGAAGCCACGGACCCUCGGGAAACUCCUGGAGGGCAGAGGCAUGCCUGCCAUCUUCAUCAUUGCAUUACCACCACCCAACACUAUCGGGGGACCUGCCCUGAUAAUCAGUCUACAGGUGUAUCCAGCAGCUCCAGAGAGACAGCGACCAGCGAGAAGGGGCCAUGAUGAUGGUGGUGGUUUUGUCAAAACGAAAAGGGGGAUAUGUAGGGAAAAGAAAGAGAGAUCAGACUGUUACUGUGUCUACAUAGAAAGGGAAGCCAUAAGAGACUCCAUUUUGAAAAAGACCUGUACUUUAAACAAUUGCUUGCUGAGAUGUUGUUUAUCUGUAGCUUUGCCCCAGCCACUUUGCCCCAACCACUUUGACCCAAUCUGGAGCUCACAAAAACAUGUUUGUAUGAAAUCAAGGUUUAAGGCAUGUAGGGCUGUGCAGGACGUGCCUUGUUAACCAAAUAUUUGGAAGCAGUAUACUUGGUAAAAGUCAUCACCAUUCUCUCGUCUCAAUAAACCAGGGGCACAAUGCACUGUGGAAAGCCGCAGGGACCUCUGCCCUUGAAAGCUGGGUAUU
rnacentral:lncRNA from 1 species